CUCCCUCACGGCCCCCGGCGAAGCGGGAGGCGGGAAACGGCCGCCGCCGCCGCCGCCGCCACCCUCCCGAGCCCUCUCCCGGUGCCGUGUCGCCCGGGCGCCGCGCCCCUCUGCGUCCCGCUGACCUGUCAGUCCACCUCACGGCGGGAGCCGGCGGGGGCUGAGCCGGGACUCGUCAGCACCGCUGCCCCUCUCAGGCCCGGGAGCCCGCGUACCUGGCAGUCAGUCUUUCCGCAGCGCCGAGGAGAAAUGGCUUGAGAAAGACAUGUUGAAGAGGAAAAAUACGUUAAGCACAGAGAUUUCUUAAUUGCUUGAAGUACAGGCCCAGGCAUAGAAUUGGAUUUGGUUACCACUUGCCAACUGUCUUAGAAUCUGAAGACUCCAGCUCUAGUUCCCGACUCUGACACCUACUAGCUCUGCAACUUUACGGAAACCACUUACCUCUCUGAGCCUCAGUUUCCUCCUCUGUGAAAUGGGCUGGUAAUAUCUAUGGCAUAAACACUUCAUUGAUGGUAUGGGACCAGCUGAGGCUACAAGUGUAAAAAUAUUGUUUGAAAAUGUUAAUUGCUAUUUGAUUAUAAGGACAUAGUCUUAUUAAUAUGAUCAAAUCUCUUGCUAGCUUAUUGGUUUUCAUAGUAGGAGAUGUCACUUGCUGUGCGAUCUUGGACAAGUCACUGAACUCCUCUGAGCUGCACUCGUCUCCCCUGUAACAUGGGGAGUGUAGACUUGAUUACUUAAAUCUCCCGACAUCGUACAAGUCUAUGCUGAUGCCGAGCUUUCCUUGAAAACUGGAAAAAGCACAGGCUUUGAAGUGUGAUGGACUGGGGUUAAUCCCCUGCUUCACAGCUUGCUUUCUUUUUGUCUCUCUGUACCCAUAAGGAUUAUCUCAGAAUGAUCUGGGUAUUUUUGAAAAGUAACAGCAGCUUGGCUGAAAGACAAUUUUGUCCAUAAUAAGACAUCAGCUGUGAGCAGAGUUCUGCAGUGGCAGAAAACGGAUCAGGCAGAGAUUCAGGUUAUAAUUUCCAAACUCCAGUGGCCCACUUGGUAGAACCAGUUUGCAUUUGUAUGUUGAAUUUUUGUUGACUAAAUAACAGUGAUCCAAGAGCUGAGAUGGUUUAUUGGUCCUCUUGGGGAGGGCUGUAUUGCUGUCAAGGUGUGGAUAAAGCAUUUCAGGCAGGCCUGCCGCUGGCCCCUGGCCCAGUGGUGUACAGCUGUGUCAAUAGGCCUUUGAAGUCCACGCACACCAGCUGACUGGUCAGCAGCCCCUGGGAUGGUCUCUACAACCUUCGUCACAGGAAAUUGGGAAAGGCAUGUGGAAGCUAGCAUUGCUGGAAGGGGAGGAGAAGAAAACUGUUGGGAUCUUUGAUGAAAACAUGGGAGAAAUUUACCAAAAUUCACAGGCUGAGCCCAUCAGCAGGAUCUGGGAUUGUUGAUCACUGCUCUCCUUCUUUCUGGCUCCAGAUCAAUGUGAUGAGCUGGUUUAUCUUUAUUCUGACUCGAAUAUGUGCCAGCUAGCGCUUCUGUGAGGCCUCAGUAUAGUGAUAGUAUGCUGGAGGCGCUGGUGGUGCUGCAAGAUUCACAGAGAGCUUCUGAAUCAUUAAAACGUGAACAACCCCUGUUCAGAAGAAUUUUAAUGCAAAAUAUUUUUCAUUUUUAUUUUUUCGUCUUUUCUGAUAUUCUACAUUCUGGGGCACUGGCCUCUUCCCUGCCCCAGGAUUUUCCCCAUGUGCAGGUGCUUCAUCAUCACAUGAUCUCAUUUAAUCUUCACAACAUCCCUGAGGUAUGUUGUCUUCAAUCCCCCUUUGGCAAAAGAGGAAAUGGAAGCUCUGGUUAAAACUUGGUGAAGAUAACACAGCUUAGCAGGAAACCCUGAGCUGUCUGACUCUCAAGCCUGUGUUGGGAAAUCCUGCCCUGUGCUGCCUCUUGUUGCAGAGAUCCUAUCUGGAUAAAGUGCUGGGUAACCAGGAAUCAGAACCUCUGGAGGACGAGUAUGACUUCUUUUCUGUCCCUGCUGCUCGAGUUCAAACCCUCACCAUCCUCUCCUCCUCUUCCCUGUUCUUGCUCUGUACCUCCACUCCGUCACUGAGUCUUGACACUUUGGCCCAGUGUCCCCCCUUGCACCCCUGCCUUUUCAUUCUUACCCUUGUUGCCACACACCUGGGGCACUGCCGUAGCUGGCAGCUCCCUUUCUCACCAGUCUUUCCCUUUUCCAUCUUUUCCACUAACCCUGCCAGACUCAUCUUCCUUUAACACUGCUUUGUCCUAUUUCAUUAAAAAUAUCCCAGGGACUCAUGAGAUAAAGUCAAGACUCAGUGCUUGACCUGACACAGCCCCCAGUCCCCCCAGGUAGACCUCAAAGCUUCUACAUUCGUUCUUUUUCACGCUGCUGAUAAAGACAGACUUGAGACUGGGCAAUUUACGAAAGAAAGAGGUUUGUUGGACUUAUGGUUCCAUAUGGCUGGGGAGACCUCACAAUCACAGUGGAAGGCAAGGAGGAGCAAGUCAUGUCUUACAUGGAUGGCAGCAGGCAAAACAGUUUGUGCAGAGAAACUCCCAUUUUUAAAACCAUCAGAUCUUGUGAGACCCAUUCACUAUCAUGAGAACAGCAUGGGAAAGACCCAUCCCCAUGAUUCAAUCACCUCCCACCAGUUCCUCCCAUGACAUAUGGGAAUUAUAGGAAUUGUGGGAGUUACAAUUCAAGAUGAGAUUUGGGUGGGGACACAGUCAAAACAUAUCAACUCCUUUCCAGCCUUGCCCAUCACUUCCUGCAAUAACUUGAUGUUGCCUGGGAUUUUCUGACUUCAGCAUCUUUGCUCAUGAGGUAUCUUCUACCUAGAAUGUGACCUUCCCACCCAACCUCCCCUCUGCUAAAAAUCUCAUCAUGGUCUGCCUGAAGUGGCCUGUCUUUAAUGAAGCUUUCUCCAGUCACCUUGCAGGAAUGAUCCCCCCACCUUGAACACUUUGAAACACUUAAACAGUACUUCUCAUAUGUUGCUUCACUGUAAUUAUUUGAGUGCCAACAUUUCCUCCCUAUAUACCAAUGUGAUGAUGGAACCCAUGUGUGUGUAUCCCCCACUGUGGUCAUUAGCAUAGUGCCUUAUAUGUAGUGGUCCCUUUGUUGCAUGUAAACUAAUGAACAGUGAAAAGCAAAUAAUAAGAAAUAAAUCAUUUAUUGUUUCCCAUGUGUCAGACAGUAUUCUUAGUGCUAUUCAAAGUAAUAAUUUAAUUCUCGCAAUAACCCUAAGAGGUAGAUGAUAUUGUGUCUCCAUUAUAGAGAUGAAGAAGCGAAGGCAUGGUGAGCUGAGCUGGUCAAAGAAUUAGUGAUUGACCCAGGAUUCAAAUCUGAGCAAUCUGCCUCCAGGACCUAGACUCCCGCUGUAGGUAGCUUUCCAGCACUCU
rnacentral:lncRNA from 10 species